AUACUAAUUUAUUUGAUAGCAUCAAUCUACAUUAUUUUGUGAAAUGUGUGAACUUACUGUAGAGCAGAAUAGCUGCAGACAAUGAAGUUUAGAUGUAAAGAGAUGCUGGGUUUGGUGUAUGAGGGAAACAUUGCAUAAGGGAGUCUUGGAAAAUGUUUCAUAAAUGACAUUCAUCCAUUUGCUUCAAGAAAAUGAAAUCAGAUAGGGAUGUUGAAUAGUAUGCAGUGAAAUGCAAGUCAUCUGAAAUCACUAUUCAGUGUGAAGUAACUGUGAAGCAAAAUGGCUACAAAUUAUAGACUUCAGAAAUAAAGAGAUACAGGUCUUUAUGCUACAAGCAUGCCAAAACAGCUGAUAAUUAUAAUGAUUGAGUCUGUGGUUGGUACAGAGAAAGGGAAAAUCAAAGAAUGCUUACUGUGUCAGAGGAUUCUACAAGAAUUACUUCUCCUCAGCAGUGACUAUGACUCACAUACAGCAAAGAUGAUGGAGAAAAUUCCAAGCGUUUUACAUUUACAGAUAUAUAAGGAUGUUGGGUGUAUUUCAAAGCUGAUCAACAAUGCCAUUAUGUAUUGUAAUAGCAUUAUUGUUAUAUUUAAUAUAGUGGACCGGUAAUAGUAAUUGGCAGAUUACACAGUGUAUAGACUCUCUGUACGCUUAACCGGAAGUCGCCAAAAACUAGGCGUUCAGAAAUCAAAACACAAAUUUUUGCUGUCGCGGAUGGCUUGGAUUUUCAUUGUUUAUUUCGUUAAUAACGCAUAAACAUCUCGGAGACUUGUUCGGACUUUACCUCGGGAACUUUAUCAUAAUUCACAGAAGAAACAGCUGCAUGCCAUCGGCGUGGUUAUUGAUGGUGUCAGACACAAGACUUGGAAUUUGAAGUGCAGCGUAAAGCUUUUACAUUCCUCAUUGGUGUAUCCAUUCUACAUUCGGAACAGCUUGUUUCAGAUGCCAGUGAUACAGGUAUUGGUGUAUGGUUGACUCAGAUACACAACUAUUCAGAUGAUUAGGCAGUUGUGGGAGACAUGCGCUUUUCUCAAAACCAGCUCUAGUUCCUUAUUGGUGUAUCCAUUCUACAUUUGGAACAGGUUGUUUCAGAAAAAGUUAAGAGUGUGAAUGACAGACUGGGUAGUUGGUUGAUGGAUGCCAGUCUGUUUCAAGCCCCAAACCCAUACUCCUCAAACCCAUUCAGGAAGGACCAAAACAAUAUGGUGACUGAGGUUGAUGGGGCGCCUAGCAACAACUUCUUUACAGUUCUCAGCAUUGGUAAGUGGAGAUCUUUUAUAAAUCAUAUUACAUCAAACACCCAAG